rnacentral:rRNA from 1 species
CAGUAGUCACGAGUUUGAUCCUGGCUCAGAUUGAACGCUGGCGGAAUGCUUUACACAUGCAAGUCGAACGGUAGAGGGGGCAACCCCUUGAGAGUGGCGAACGGGUGAGUAAUAUAUCGGAACGUGCCCAGUCGUGGGGGAUAACGUAGAGAAAUUUACGCUAAUACCGCAUACGAUCUAAGGAUGAAAGCGGGGGACCGUAAGGCCUCGCGCGAUUGGAGCGGCUGAUAUCAGAUUAGGUUGUUGGUGAGGUAAAAGCUCACCAAGCCGACGAUCUGUAGCUGGUUUGAGAGAACGGCCAGCCACACUGGGACUGAGACACGGCCCAGACUCCUACGGGAGGCAGCAGUGGGGAAUAUUGGACAAUGGGCGAAAGCCUGAUCCAGCAAUGCCGCGUGAGUGAUGAAGGCCUUUGGGUUGUAAAGCUCUUUUACUCGGGACGAUAAUGACGGUACCGAGAGAAUAAGCCCCGGCUAACUCCGUG